rnacentral:lncRNA from 1 species
GGCAAACUUCCAGCUCCAUCGAUGCCACUUUUAGCAUCACGACUACUCAUCUUCCAUCUAACACCACGAAGCUCUGACAAAAUGGAAGAUCGACGCUUGCCAACUGAGGCGAUGGACAGAAGAAGUGCGUCUCCCUCAAACAGAGUCCCUAGCGAACUGACGGCGACUGAGGCAGGCCAACGGAGGCGACGGACUACCACUGCAGACUGAAGUCGUGUAAACUGGUGACGUAGCUUUGGGUGAAUGAUUCUCUCCAGAGGGUCUGGGCCUCAUGUAACUUAUUAUAAAACAUGUGACGUUUGGCUCAUCUAAAUUUGAUUGAGUUGGAGUAAUGCUUGAGUUGGAUUUUGAAUUCAAAAUGUAUGGUCCUAUAAUUGCAUGGGAACUUGGAAAAUGUGUGGUUGAAUUUGUUCCAAAAACACUGAAUUGGUGUUUCUUCAUAAUCUUAGUCUAUGGAUGCUUGAUAGUGAAUAAAUAGGUUAUUGACAUUACACGCUGCAAAAUCAACGACAAUCUCUGGAAGGUUUAGCUUUCCUUUCUUUGUUUUCAUAGGUGGCAAUUUAUUGAAAAGAAGUCUGUGAAGUCUAGUCUCAAAGGAAGUGGGUGUACAUGGGUUGGUUCAAUCCCCUCUUCAGAAAGAAAAAAAAAAAAACUGAGCCAAUCCGGGUGCUGUGGGCUAAGAGGGAGGGAGGGAGGGAGGGAGGGAUUUGGGUGCUUUUGAGGCGUCUACGAAAUAUGGAUGUGUAGUAUGUUCUUAUCAUAUAGAUGUGCAAUUCGGAGAAAAUUUGAUCACUGGGAUAGGGCUCUGCUCUAUGUUUUAUGAGUCGCUUGAAGAGCCAAAACCAUGGAGGAAUGAAGAAGUUGUAGUGAGAUGGCAAACCACCAGGAAAGAUUGCUGAAGGGAGUCCUUUGACUACAUCUUGACUUUGGCAACUAGGGAGAAUUGAAAACCAAAUUUUCUUGGAGUGUGAGAGUAAUAUGAACAUUGGUUGACCUUGUGGAAUGUGGAUAUGAAAAAGAAAUAUCACAGACACACGGAGUUCACAUGAGUUAUUCAGUAGAUUAGAAACAACACACAAGAAGCUAAUUGUUGAUUCUGAAUUCUAAAGCCUUUGCAACACUUUAGGAUUCUCUUUUGAUCCUAAUAUGCCAUAGCUUUUAUGAAGGAAAUUGACCGAGAAGCUAAAACUCCUGGAUGCUUCCUGAAUGUUUGAGUGAAACCUCAUUAAUGAAGGAUAAACUUCGAGGUACCAAUAAUAAAAUACAUUGGAAUGAGCAACAUCUAGUUUCUCAAAUUAGUUGCUGUUUUUUGCUCAAGUGUUGUUAGAGCCACAUCAGUUUAAGUGUUAGGUGGGAUUUGCAUAUGUAUUACAAGAUAAGUAUAUAUUAAUAAUCAUUACUUCAAAUUUUGUGACCAGUAUAUUAAUCAGGACCUGCAAGAUCUUGAUCUUCCAGCCACAAGAUAUGGAUUCAUUCCAUUAGUAGCUGCAUAUUGAUACUGAAAUGUUUCUACUGCUGGCAACUUGAUGCUAAUUUUCUAUUGAGUUGCCUAUUGUCCACAUUUUUUUUUCUCCUUAAAAGUAAGUAGAUCUAUUUGCCUUUCUCGUAUAAGGCAAAGCUUGCUCUGGACAACCUUGAAGUUUAGUCACUAGGUGAUAUGUUACUUUUUCCUCUCCUAAGAUGAUUAGUGUUUCAGUCUUAAUUAUGACGCUACCAUGAUCUAAUAUUUCAUGUUUGCUAAGCUUGUUUAGAACUCAUACAAUGUUUGUCGUGGAAAUAAAAGUUAAAACGUAGUGAAACAUGAUCUAUUUCAUUGAGAUCUGAGUAGUACGUGAAGUAGCUAAUCUAGAUUACAGACAUUGUCCGUUUAAGAAUUAGUCUUGAAAGAACAAGUUCUAGUACAAGGCGAAGAAGCAAGAGACCUACCAUCGAAACAAAAAAUUUAGGGAAAAAAGAUAAACCAUGAAAACUCUGACUUUGAGAGCUUGAGAUUUAUAGUUCAUGCUGCUCCUAGUGAUCUGAUUAUGAGUCAAAAGCAUUGUGAAAAACAUGGACUAGCUCAUUGCCUUUCUGAAUAUGAAACCAAGAGGAGUCAUCUUGCAGAUAAUUGACCACCUUGCUCAAUUUCCUCCCUCUGGAGCUAAAAUAUUAGCUCUAAUUAUGGCAUAGUUUCAUGAUAGAGAGGAUGAAUCUCUAGUUGUGACGGUGAGCAUGAAUCCUAUGCAAUGUUUGGAAGAUGUAGCUGAUUGGAACCCAUCCCACCCUAGUAACAGUACACAAGUCAUCCAAAAAUCAUCUCUUCUACGAGAUCAUUGGUGCAGUAGCGUUAUCAAUCACUGGUACAUAUGUUAGUCAUACUGAAAUAAAACUAAACUUUCCUAAAAUUGGUUUAUUCAUAAAUGAUUAGAUGUCUAUUAUCCCUUUUUAGGUAUGAAGUAUAUUAUGUAUGUGCAAAUGAUAAAUUUGGAGGCUAUGGCUCAAUGUUGGUGUUGCAUUCAAAUAGCUCCGAGGCAUGCAUUUCGAAACUUGCUUUUAUUGUUGAUUUUGUAUCUACCUAGUUCCACUUUGUAGUUGUGACAUAUGAUAAUUGAUAGCUAAAGCUUACUAGAGAUUUAUGAUUCCUUAUGUUUAUAACUAAUGGAUGUGAUUUCAUAGUGAUUAUGUUUGUCACUAAUUGACUAUUGCACCAAAUAACCAUGAAAUUUAAUGGAGGUUUAUGGAACUUAUGUUCCAUAUUUUCUGUCCUUUUCCUAGUAUAAAUGGAAGAAAGUGGAGUUUCCAGAAGUGUCAAGAAGUCAAGUAUAUUUUAAGUCUAAAUUUCCCCGCUUUGUUUCCUUUUCCUUGAAUUCUUUGUGACUUGUUAGACAUUUCCGUAUUCUUUUUUUAUGCCCUAAAAGAUUUAUAGUUCUAGGAAGUGCUACAAGUUAAGCUAACAUUAGUUCCUUUUCCCUUUCCCCCUUGUUUCUUCAUCUCUUCUUCCUCACUUUUUUUUCAGUGCAGUGAGAUUUUUUGAUGUCUUUAGUGUUAUCAUGUUUGAAUCGGGAAAUCUGCAAAGAAAUCUGAUAGUUCAUCUGAAAAUUAAUUAUGCUUUCUAAUAUGCCAUGGGCAAUGUACUUGAUAUAUAAAAUCUCCUCUCUCAUUUAAUAGUUGCAAUUUUCUCUCCUUGCAUGCAUGAGAGCAUGUGCCUGCUAAAUUCUAGUGUAUGGCUUGUGUUUCUAGUAUGAUUUUUCAUUUUCCUGACUCUACUAACAUUUCAUGCUUCCUAAGCUUGUUUAAAGCUCAUCGAGUUUUUACUCAAACUUUGUACUAGUAUACAAGCUCUCAAUCAGAUUGCUGGUGUCAAGAUCUCUCUGAAGUGAAAUUGUCUAUCUGAAUUAAAAGCCUCUGAGAAUCACCCUAUUUACAGCAUGUUGUUUGUUCUCAAAGGACAUUAGUUUUUAUGUUGAAUAGAAAAUACAACUACCAAAGGCACCGUUGAAGUAAAAAAUUGAAGCCAUUGUUACCCCAAACACACUCCUCUUAAAUUUGAUGCAAGAAUUUUGCCAAGGUUAAUGCCCCUUAAUAGAGCCUAGUUACUGUAAAUUAAAUCAAAUGGAGCACUUCAGAGAUAAUUUACUUCCAUGAAAACCGACAGACAUUUCUGAAAAUUGCUAUUCUUUGGACUGAAAUGUAAACUUCCUGAACUAAACAUAUUCUCCAAUCAGCAAACUUGUUUUUGCUUGGAUAGUAUCUUCUUUGGCAAAGUGCUUUGUCAAUUGGUUUGCUAAAUUAUCUCUCACACAACAUUUGGACAUUGUUUGCAAAUAGAAUCUGUCUUAAGUUUCAAGCUUUUGAGCUAGGUAAAAGUGCAGAAUCCUUGACAAAUAUUGGCUGGUUUCCACAGAAAUUCCAUCCAUGUUUCCCCUUUUAAGUGUGUGCCUGGUUGAUGAUUGUUUCCAACUAUUUUCUUGUUUCUUCUUAGUAAUAGGGAUUCUGGACCAAAGGGUUUCAGAUGCUAGGGAGGUAUAAUGGCAUCAGAAGCAAUUUCUCUUAUGCGAGAUUAUUAUGAACCAGGAAACCUUAACGGUAUGAGCAUCAAUCAACCAUUUUAACCUGUUGAACUGGCUGUUUGAAAGAAUGCUAUAAUACCCCAGCUAUCACCUAUUUACAUUAGAGUACAUGAGGGAAAUGAUAGCUCUUAUUUAAAUGGAUCCAUUUCCACUAUUAAAUACACUUUUUAUGAGCAUAAUAAAGUAAUUCCACUUUUUGAACCAAAGUUUACCAAUUAUUGAAGUCAAGCAUUGUGCGUGCUAGCAACAUCUCCCUGAAUGACCCAUAUGGAAAAAGUCCUCUAAAAUCUAAUACUUUGGUCUUCCUAGCACUCCUCUCCUUCCAUGUUGAUUGAGAAGAAUUCAAAAAGCCUAUUUCUCUUUCUACUUUCCAAUCAGUUCUCUCAACAAGCUAGAUGAAGUGCAGUAGCUGGCGCUUCUGCUGAUUAUAGAUCUUGCUGAACAACUCUCUCUCUCUCGUGCGCGCGUGCGUGAACACACUUCUUAAUGUGUAAAUCAUUUGUUGCUGUAUCCUUGGUCUGAAGAAUUAUGUGCACAACCUAGGUAAAUAAAGCUAGCCAGUCAAAUGAUUUGUAAUGACAAAGGGUUGAUGAAAUUACAAGCAUAGAACUAGUGGGUCUUUGGUUGGAUAACAAUUCAUUCAGAAGUUAGAACCCAUUCAGGAGUUUUCUAAGUCAAGGGUAAGGUGCUUAUCUUUAGAUGGCGGCUACACUUAAUCAGACUAAGUAUGGAUGCUGGAGUGGAGCAGUGUUCAGCCAUACAAUGGUUGCUAUGAAUAGGUUAGUUUGGCCAGUAAACAAAAGCUAGAGUUUCAUAUGCCCAGUCUUUAUUUAUUGGCUAAUGCCCUAUUUAUCUGAUGUAGCUUUUCUCUAGACUGGAUAUAGCAAGAUUGCUAUUUGAGAAAUGGGAUGUCAUGUCCCUAAUAGUAAGGUGUAGGAAUUUAUCUAGUAAACAAAAGGCAGAGUUUCAUAUGCCCAAAAAAAAAAUUUUGGCCAAUUUUCAGAUGCCAUGUUUAUCACAUGUAGCUUUCCGUCCAGACUGGGUGUUUUUAGCCAGAUUGCCAUUUGAAAAAUGGGAUGUCAUGUCCUUGGUUACGAAUAAGAUGAAGUACAUUAUCUUAAUAGUUGAUAAUCCAAUGAUCAGCCUCAUUAGAGAGACAUCAUUUUGCAAUAUCCCUAUUGUGAAUUGCUAAACAUAUAUGGUUUUGGGUUGAGCAAUUCUCCUUGAGCUCUUCAGCUGGUAAUAAAUCAAGAGACUGAUCAGACCAUAAUUUUUUCAAGCCUCUGAGAUAAUCAGUGCUCUUCGGAAACUCAUUACAUUAAGAAAUUAUGGCCUCAAAAUAAUUUGUUUUCACAAUGAUAAAAUCAACUUGGUUCAUGUUUCUUCUAUGUUUUGUAGAACCCUGGUACAUGAAUAUCAUUUCUCUUUGCCUUGUUUCCCCUUCUUUUCCUUUAUUUGUUGUUAAUGACAUUGUGGAGACUGUUAAUUGUUUGAGUCUUAUAGAUAUAUUGAAUGCUGAUAUUUGGUUUUCAACUCCGAAGCCUCACAGAUCACGACAUACUCAGGCUUCUCGUUAGAUCUCUGUGCAUCGAUUCUUCCUGUUGAAUCCUCUCAUGCCUUUGCACAACUAGGUAAGACCUUUCAACUUAUGAUUCCUUGCUUUUGUGAACAUCAUGUACACUAUUCUGAUGCAUCUCUGCUGCAUUUUGAAUGAUUUGCUAAUUAAUUUUGCAUAUAACUAGUAGGCUGCAUGGUGCGACCUUUGUAUAUCAUAGCCUGUUAACAAAGGAAUGGCACAUGUUAGGGUGUUGGCAAUGUUGCUUGCUGUGGUAGUAUGAUAUGAUGCUCAUGAGACUGAAUAUUCCUAUAGUUAUAGAUUUCCUUGUAUGAUGAUAAGUCAAUCACAAAGACGGCACUAGAAAAAGUCUUCAAAAUGAAGUUUGAUAACAUCAUUUCUCUUCACUCUAGAUUCUUACUAUAUUUUAAUUAUAUUGUUCAUUGUUCUUUUUCCUGUUAGUUAUUCAUUUUAUUAUAACCUAAGUCAAACCUGCACUUCAGGGUAGUUCCCAUUCUUGAGGUGAAGUCAUCGCAAAAUUAAUGUUGAAUUAGUUUUCUGGCUCUUUGUAUUCUACAUGUAAGGGCGCAAAAUAAGAUAGUUUACUGUCUGUGUGUGAUGUCAGAAACAAUUAUUGUUAAUUAUUUUAUCUCAAGAUGUUAAAACAUUAUAUAACCAUAGUAUGUUCGGAGAGUCCCUUAAGUAUAAAAAUAUGUGUGAAUGUUAUUGACUAUGAUUAGCAUUCCAUUAUAUGGUAAGAGGAUGCAGUUAAACGUCGAGCAUUCCAUGAAGUGUUUUAAAUUGAUCGAUGCACACUCUAACUAACAAUGCACGUGUUAUUUACUGCUGCUAAUCUCAGAUGUUCAUCAAGGGACUAGAGAAAUGAAGUGUCAUGCAUGUCCAAAUCAGCUUUUUGCCCAGAUGCUCAUGUGUUUACUGAGGGUUGCAAUUGUGAUCGCAAGUCCAUUUCAUGCUUUAACUUAAGAUAGUUUAUGGCAUAACCCCCUAUGUAGGCAUCACUUUACUAAUGCUAAUUUUUGUCAUCUACAUAUUUUGCAAUGUGGCUUGAUUUUUCUUGACUUUUUCAAACUUGAGGUAAUUCUAGGCAUGCUAUUGAUGUGUCAAAGCUUCAUAGUUCUGGACGACAUCAUGUGCGAUCCCUAAUGAUG